GGUUCUGGCUUAGCGGUAGAGCACUCACCUAGCACAUGUGAGGCACUGGGUUCGAUCCUCAGUACCA
rnacentral:tRNA from 1 species